rnacentral:lncRNA from 1 species
GUGAAUCACAAAGGCCAGUCCUGCUGGGCCCAACCAGUUCACAGAAGGCAAAGGACUGCUUUGGUCACUCCAAAUCCAGAGGAAUCCCCAUUGUGUCUGCCAUCUUCACGGACCAAUAGAGCUAGCCGGUUGACCACUUUAGUUACCCAUCUGUGAAGUUCCGGCUACAUGAUUUGCAAGGCCCAGUGCAAAAUGAACAUGUGGAGCCCACCCCACCAACCUUUCUAAAAAAAAAAAAAGCAUUAAGAAUAUCAAGAUGGCAACAGCAGAGCAUGAAACCAAGUAUGGAGCCCUUCUGAGCCCGGGGUUCUGUGCAACUGAACGGUUGCAUGCCCCCGAAGCUGGCUGUGCACCUAUGGAUUUUCCCUUAAUGUCUUUCUCUUUCUUGGGGACUUAUCAAGUGCAUUGUUGAUGAUAAUAUUUCUAGUAAAAAUGUUACUUUUUUAAAAUAAUGGUAAGCUUUCUUUUUUCUUAUUUAUUUAUUUAUUUU